rnacentral:tRNA from 1 species
GCGGGUGUAGUUUAAUGGUAGAACGGCAGCUUCCCAAGCUUUCGGCGAGGGUUCGAUUCCCUUCACCCGCU